GUCUACGGCCAUGCCACUGUGAACAAGCCCGAUCCCGCCUGAUCUCGGAAGCUAAACAGGAUCGGGCCUGGUUAGCACUUGGAUGGCAGACCACCUAGGAAUACCAGGUGCUGUAGACG
rnacentral:rRNA from 1 species